rnacentral:rRNA from 1 species
CCCCUAAGGUGAGGCCGAAAGGCGUAAUCGAUGGGAAACGGGUUAAUAUUCCCGUACUUCUGACUAUUGCGAUGGGGGGACGGAGAAGGCUAGGUGGGCCAGGCGACGGUUGUCCUGGUUCAAGUGCGUAGGCUUGAGAGUUAGGUAAAUCCGGCUCUCUCUAAGGCUGAGACACGACGUCGAGCUACUACGGUAGUGAAGUCAUUGAUGCCAUGCUUCCAGGAAAAGCCUCUAAGCUUCAGAUAGUCAGGAAUCGUACCCCAAACCGACACAGGUGGUCGGGUAGAGAAUACCAAGGCGCUUGAGAGAACUCGGGUGAAGGAACUAGGCAAAAUGGUACCGUAACUUCGGGAGAAGGUACGCUCUUGAUGGUGAAGUCCCUCGCGGAUGGAGCUGACGAGAGUCGCAGAUACCAGGUGGCUGCAACUGUUUAUUAAAAACACAGCACUGUGCAAAAUCGCAAGAUGACGUAUACGGUGUGACGCCUGCCCGGUGCCGGAAGGUUAAUUGAUGGGGUUAGCGCAAGCGAAGCUCUUGAUCGAAGCCCCGGUAAACGGCGGCCGUAACUAUAACGGUCCUAAGGUAGCGAAAUUCCUUGUCGGGUAAGUUCCGACCUGCACGAAUGGCGUAAUGAUGGCCACGCUGUCUCCACCCGAGACUCAGUGAAAUUGAAAUCGCUGUGAAGAUGCAGUGUACCCGCGGCUAGACGGAAAGACCCCGUGAACCUUUACUACAGCUUGGCACUGAACAUUGAACCUACAUGUGUAGGAUAGGUGGGAGGCUAUGAAGACGUGACGCCAGUUGCGUUGGAGCCGUCCUUGAAAUACCACCCUUGUAUGUUUGAUGUUCUAACUUAGACCCAUUAUCUGGGUUGAGGACAGUGCCUGGUGGGUAGUUUGACUGGGGCGGUCUCCUCCCAAAGAGUAACGGAGGAGCACGAAGGUGGGCUAAUCACGGUUGGACAUCGUGAGGUUAGUGCAAUGGCAUAAGCCCGCUUAACUGCGAGAAUGACGGUUCGAGCAGGUGCGAAAGCAGGUCAUAGUGAUCCGGUGGUUCUGUAUGGAAGGGCCAUCGCUCAACGGAUAAAAGGUACUCCGGGGAUAACAGGCUGAUACCGCCCAAGAGUUCAUAUCGACGGCGGUGUUUGGCACCUCGAUGUCGGCUCAUCACAUCCUGGGGCUGAAGUCGGUCCCAAGGGUAUGGCUGUUCGCCAUUUAAAGUGGUACGCGAGCUGGGUUUAGAACGUCGUGAGACAGUUCGGUCCCUAUCUGCCGUGGGCGUUGGAAGAUUGAAGGGGGCUGCUCCUAGUACGAGAGGACCGGAGUGGACGAACCUCUGGUGUUCGGGUUGUGUCGCCAGACGCAUUGCCCGGUAGCUAAGUUCGGAAUUGAUAAGCGCUGAAAGCAUCUAAGCGCGAAGCGAGCCCUGAGAUGAGUCUUCCCUGACAGUUUAACUGUCCUAAAGGGUUGUUCG